GCGAGCCGGUGGGCGGCUCUCGGGGCUCUCCUGAGGAAACACCCUCCACCGGACGGGACCGCAGGGUCGAAAAGAUCCCGGUUGAGAGACCGGACCCUGGAACAGAAACGAUACCCGCCAGUUCGGAUUGCGAUGAUGCGGCUGACGCUGAGGACGGGCUGGUCAGGGAUGGAACGGCCAAUCUGCGGGGUGCAAGGGCAAAAUAACCGCCGAUGAACUCCCGUCGGAGGCGGGUGGUAGCCCGCUAAGCUGAAUGCCGCCUAGAACAGAAGAGGGGUUACGGCCGGCACGC
rnacentral:RNase_P_RNA from 3 species